rnacentral:tRNA from 1 species
GAACUAUUAUUUCUUUGUUUUGAAAACAAAGUUAAAGAUUGUAUCUUGUAGUUUU